CGGGAUGAAGCUCCGACCCAGGAUGGACUAGGCUAGAAUCUUCCCAGCUGAAGCAGCACUCACAGCCACUCAAAAAGCCCAGGAAGAAGUGUGGAUGGCCAGGAUCACUGCCAAAGAGUUCUCGCCUUCCUUCCAGCACAGGGAAAACGGGGCCGGUGUCCAUCUCAAGGGACCUGGGGAUGCUGUGAUUUCCUCUGACAGCCCCAGCAGUCAGUUGCCCCAGGGUUCAGCUCCCAUCUUGGUCAUCGUGGUGUUCCUGCUCAACACUGGAGUCGCCAUUUUGUUUAUCAACUUUUUCAUCUGACGAGAUUGUUGUGACCACGGAAGCAAUGAUGAACAAAAAGUACGUUAAAAGCAAAACAGAAAGGGGAAUCUUGACUCAGACAGCCCUAUGACUCCUGUCUUUCCACGGAAGAACAACAUGACUGGGUAUCACUUACAGUAUGCCUUUUUUUCUGGGUAAUGUUUUUGGAUUUUAGCCAAAAUUCUUUGGUUGUAUAACACGAUGCUGUGUGGCACGGCAGGAGGAGGCCGGCAUGCUGUCCUUCCAGUGUGGUGUGAAAGGGUCCCGGGGAUGUGGAAGGCAUGAGAGGGGGCACCUUCACCAGCGUGCCCGUCUAGCCGGGGAAGGGGGAGGACAGCAAGGCAGCACAGCUGUGGAAAGCCAGUGGCUUUGCCCUCCUCUCUGGAGUAGCUGCUGGGAGUGAGGGCCCGGGCCCAGGGACAGGGUGUCGUCCUCGCCUCUGUCUCCAUGGAGUCUGUGCUGCGUACCUGUGGAGGGAGAGGGAAGCCCCUGCUCUUCUUCCCAACAGACCAUGAUCCCUCUUCCAGCAAAGUCUGUUCCGCUGCUGUCCUCCGCUCACUCGUUUAUGGUCCUGUCCAGCCAUCAUCCCUCCAGACCCAGGGAGGCCAUGCUGCAGACGUUCAGGGCUAACCCCGACCUGGCCAGGCACAUCUAAGCCCUGAUGCCAAGGGGCUAUGGCCCACAUGCCCCGGACAGCCUGACAGCACACCUGGGCUGAGAAGGUGGCGUUUUGCACCUAGUAUUCAGGAUGUAUAUUUAGGCUUCCGUGUCCCUGGCAGUGACGCCCCAUGGAGGACGUCACUUCUCACUGACCUCCACAGGGUCUCACAUCUUUGCACUGUGCCUGCCUCGACUACCCCAACAGAUAUACAUAAUUCCCUCCAGAUACCUCAGUGCUACUCCAGAGCGAGUCUGGUCCCGGAACAGGAAUGUGGUUGAAGCCAGUGGCUUGAAUGUCCUGGAGACUGUUGCAUACCCAGCACUCCCGGAUGUACAAUGUAACUUGUUUCAGUCAAACAACAGGUUCCUCAUGUCUCUGCCUUCUCUACCAGGGUUGUUCCCUCAUCCAAACAAACGAACAAGGGAUGCCAGCUCGACUGGUACCCGUGGCUCCGUCAGUCUUCUUGGGUGCAGCCCGUCUGUCUUAUGGACUCUGCCGUGCUUUGCUCGUUUUCAGUCAGCUGUUCUCUGCUACCUUUCGGGCAGAUUUCUUUACUACAGUGCACUGGAUUGCUAUAUUUCUAACCAGAAAUAGACUACAGAUUAGAGCGUGUUCUAGCAAUGCUCAGCUUUAUUGUUUCCGUUAUCCACCCUGUUCCCUAGCCACUGCCUAUCCCUUCUCCCAGACUGAUGUGGAUCAGGGGUCAAGGUCGGGGAGAGGCUCAGCAGGGGCCCUGAUGCAUUCCUGGUGUCUCUGAAGGGUUCCAUCUUUUUGUAUGGCUUACUUUUCCAUUCACUUUUUUUUAUUAUCAAGAGGUUGCUGCAGAUCUGGCGUGAACCACAAGAGCCGUCCCUACUGGACUAUGUGAAUUGUAAUUCUGUCUGCUGAGGUGAGGGGCUCAGUGUGCAUCCCAGGAGCCAUAUGACCCAGAGGGGUGCUGAUUCAUGAAGGUGGCAUGGUCACUCACGUCACCCUGGCAGAUGCACAGCCCUCACGUGCCUAAGAGGCUCUCCCAGGGCACAGCACUCAUCCACGCAUCCGCUGUGACUAAUGUUACCACAGAAGCAAAUCCACAGCCUGGCACUCCUCUGACAGCCUGCAGCACAUGCAGCACAAUCAAUUCUCUAGUCCUGGUGGAUUCUAGGCAGAGGUGAUGGAUCCCGAGAUGCACACUGGGUCCUGGGGGCUCUAGCAAGCUGCCCUGCAGUGAAGGAGACACCUAAGGCUACUGUUCUCCCCUCUGUGCAGAGCCCACCUCCUCCCUGAAGGCAAAGUGGAUGCAGCAUGUUGGGCAAGAGGAGGAUGGUGGCUGGUGGGGACAGAACAGCAUGUCGCUCUGGCUCCCAGGGUACACAGCAUGUGAUGGGUUUUAACUAAGAUCCAGCUCAAUCUCAG